rnacentral:rRNA from 1 species
UACGAAGGGGGGCUAGCGUUGCUCGGAAUCACUGGGCGUAAAGGGCGCGUAGGCGGCGUUUUAAGUCGGGGGUGAAAGCCUGUGGCUCAACCACAGAAUGGCCUUCGAUACUGGGACGCUUGAGUAUGGUAGAGGUUGGUGGAACUGCGAGUGUAGAGGUGAAAUUCGUAGAUAUUCGCAAGAACACCCGUGGCUAAGGCGGCUCUCUAGUACGGUACUGACGCUGAGACGCGAAAGCGUGGGGAGCGAACAGG